rnacentral:rRNA from 1 species
UAGGGAAUCUUCCGCAAUGGGCGAAAGCCUGACGGAGCAACGCCGCGUGAGUGAUGAAGGUCUUCGGAUCGUAAAACUCUGUUAUUAGGGAAGAACAAAUGUGUAAGUAACUAUGCACGUCUUGACGGUACCUAAUCAGAAAGCCACGGCUAACUACGUGCCAGCAGCCGCGGUAAUACGUAGGUGGCAAGCGUUAUCCGGAAUUAUUGGGCGUAAAGCGCGCGUAGGCGGUUUUUUAAGUCUGAUGUGAAAGCCCACGGCUCAACCGUGGAGGGUCAUUGGAAACUGGAAAACUUGAGUGCAGAAGAGGAAAGUGGAAUUCCAUGUGUAUCGGUGAAAUGCGCAGAGAUAUGGAGGAAAACCAGUGGCGAAGGCGACUUUCUGGUCUGUAACUGACGCUGGUGUGCGAAAGCGGGGGGAUCAAACAGA